AAGGCUAUAGCUUAGUUAAAGUGUCUACUUUGCAAGUAGAAGAUGUGGGUUAGUGUCCCGUUAGUCUUA
rnacentral:tRNA from 1 species